rnacentral:rRNA from 1 species
UACGUAGGGAGCAAGCGUUGUUCGGAUUUACUGGGCGUAAAGGGCGCGUAGGCGGCAAAUUAAGUCAGCUGUGAAAUCUCCGAGCUUAACUCGGAACUGUCAGCUGAUACUGAUCUGCUAGAGUGCGGAAGGGGCAAUCGGAAUUCUUGGUGUAGCGGUGAAAUGCGUAGAUAUCAAGAGGAACACCUGAGGUGAAGACGGGUUGCUGAGCCGACACUGACGCUGAGUGCGCGAAAGCCAGGGGAGCAAACGGG